GCUAGCAGUGGAAUCCAGGACGCGCGUUUCGGACUCGUCAGCUGGAUGUACCUGCAUCUCAGAGUUAAUGUUCACUCUGGGACUCGAACCCAGUAACUUUCGCUCCAAACGCCAUCGCGUUAUCCACUCGGCCACUGAGUCCUGAUAGUCACUUGCUUGUGCAAUGGGGUGAAGUUGAAAUUUACUUAGUAUUGUUUGUUUGGAUCUUCCCAUUGAUGCUUUUAGGACUGCAACUGGUCAGCGAACAUCAAGAUGCAGGUACAUCCAGCUGUGUAGUCCCAAUAGGACGAAACGUGCGUCAAACUGGAUUCCACUGCUAGCCACUAUCCAUCUUUGCUUACCGUGCUUGUGGAUUUAGGCUAUAUCGAAGCAAUACGCACAGUAUGCACAUAUGCCAAUUAGAGACUGAUCAGUCGCAGUCCUAAAAACAUCA
rnacentral:tRNA from 1 species